rnacentral:rRNA from 1 species
GAAUGCUGACAUAAGUAACGAUAAAGCGGGUGAAAAGCCCGCUCGCCGGAAGACCAAGGGUUCCUGUCCAACGUUAAUCGGGGCAGGGUGAGUCGACCCCUAAGGCGAGGCCGAAAGGCGUAGUCGAUGGGAAACAGGUUAAUAUUCCUGUACUUGGUGUUACUGCGAAGGGGGGACGGAGAAGGCUAUGUUGGCCGGGCGACGGUUGUCCCGGUUUAAGCGUGUAGGCUGGUUUUCCAGGCAAAUCCGGAAAACCAAGGCUGAGGCGUGAUGACGAGGCACUACGGUGCUGAAGCGACAAAUGCCCUGCUUCCAGGAAAAGCCUCUAAGCAUCAGGUAACAUCAAAUCGUACCCCAAACCGACACAGGUGGUCAGGUAGAGAAUACCAAGGCGCUUGAGAGAACUCGGGUGAAGGAACUAGGCAAAAUGGUGCCGUAACUUCGGGAGAAGGCACGCUGAUAUGUAGGUGAAGCGACUUGCUCGUGGAGCUGAAAUCAGUCGAAGAUACCAGCUGGCUGCAACUGUUUAUUAAAAACACAGCACUGUGCAAACACGAAAGUGGACGUAUACGGUGUGACGCCUGCCCGGUGCCGGAAGGUUAAUUGAUGGGGUUAGCGGUAACGCGAAGCUCUUGAUCGAAGCCCCGGUAAACGGCGGCCGUAACUAUAACGGUCCUAAGGUAGCGAAAUUCCUUGUCGGGUAAGUUCCGACCUGCACGAAUGGCGUAAUGAUGGCCAGGCUGUCUCCACCCGAGACUCAGUGAAAUUGAACUCGCUGUGAAGAUGCAGUGUACCCGCGGCAAGACGGAAAGACCCCGUGAACCUUUACUAUAGCUUGACACUGAACAUUGAGCCUUGAUGUGUAGGAUAGGUGGGAGGCUUUGAAGUGUGGACGCCAGUCUGCAUGGAGCCGGCCUUGAAAUACCACCCUUUAAUGUUUGAUGUUCUAACGUUGGCCCGUAAUCCGGGUUGCGGACAGUGUCUGGUGGGUAGUUUGACUGGGGCGGUCUCCUCCUAAAGAGUAACGGAGGAGCACGAAGGUUGGCUAAUCCUGGUCGGACAUCAGGAGGUUAGUGCAAUGGCAUAAGCCAGCUUGACUGCGAGCGUGACGGCGCGAGCAGGUGCGAAAGCAGGUCAUAGUGAUCCGGUGGUUCUGAAUGGAAGGGCCAUCGCUCAACGGAUAAAAGGUACUCCGGGGAUAACAGGCUGAUACCGCCCAAGAGUUCAUAUCGACGGCGGUGUUUGGCACCUCGAUGUCGGCUCAUCACAUCCUGGGGCUGAAGUAGGUCCCAAGGGUAUGGCUGUUCGCCAUUUAAAGUGGUACGCGAGCUGGGUUUAGAACGUCGUGAGACAGUUCGGUCCCUAUCUGCCGUGGGCGCUGGAGAACUGAGGGGGGCUGCUCCUAGUACGAGAGGACCGGAGUGGACGCAUCACUGGUGUUCGGGUUGUCAUGCCAAUGGCACUGCCCGGUAGCUAAAUGCGGAAGAGAUAAGUGCUGAAAGCAUCUAAGCACGAAACUUGCCCCGAGAUGAGUUCUCCCUGAGACUUAGAGUCUCCUGAAGGAACGUUGAAGACGACGACGUUGAUAGGCCGGGUGUGUAAGCGCAGCGAUGCGUUGAGCUAACCGGUACUAAUGAACCGUGAGGCUUAACCUU